rnacentral:rRNA from 1 species
GUAUCUGGCUUGCAUUCAGCUUAUGCGGUCGCUACCGAUGCGUCGCUGACCUCCAGAUUGGGGCUUUGACUAGUCGGUCGGUGGCUGUGUUGUGCAUUUGCAAGUGGAGUGCGUCGAGGCAUCUGGGAUGGCGGAAUGAACUUGGCUUUGAGGCCAGCUUGCUGGUACCCGGGCCUGGGGAUUUCUGUUCGUUCUAGGUGUUUUUGCGGUCGAACAAGGCUUUGCGAGCCUGGUUGGGUGCCGAGCUGGGUGUCGGUGGCGGUCGCAUGCGACACGUACUGUGCCACCAGUUCGGUCCUGGCCGAGCUCACUCCAUGUUCAAUCUCGGCGUAAAAGCUGGUCAUCUUUCCGACCCGUCUUGAAACACGGACCAAGGAGUUUAUCGUGUGCGCGAGUCAUUGGGCGUUGAAAACCCAAAGGCGCAAUGAAAGUAAAUGUAUCCGCUCGGAACUGAUGUGCGACCCUGGUCACUGCGGUGGCCAGGAGCAGCAUGGCCCCAUCCUGACUGCUUGCAGUGGGGUGGAGGAAGAGCGUACGCGAUGAGACCCGAAAGAUGGUGAACUAUUCCUGAGCAGGAUAAAGCCAGAGGAAACUCUGGUGGAAGUCCGAAGCGAUUCUGACGUGCAAAUCGAUCGUCUGACUUGGGUAUAGGGGCGAAAGACUAAUCGAACCAUCUAGUAGCUGGUUCCUUCCGAA